UGCCAACCAACCGCAGUAACAGAGGGGGUGUCACACAAGACUCGCCGUGUCCAGCUGAGCACAGGCUUGCCCUUCCCUGACUCCUGUGAACGCCCGGCUCUGUUCUUGGUGCCACCCAAACCCCAGGAACCUUGAUGGAAAGACCUGCAUGUGGCAGUGGUCUUCAAGUCACCAUACUAUGGUUACAGUGUUGUUUAUCACAGCAAAAUACCGGCAGCUGCCUAAGUGUCCAUCGGUGGGGCUCUGGUGACAUCUGUGCAGCAGAAGCUACACAACCAUGAAAAGCAUCCCCGCUGGGAAGUCCAUGACGUGCGGAUAUGGAACAUCUCUGAGCUGCACAGCGAAGAAUUGGGCCAAGUGACGGAUUCGAGUCACGAAGAGAAUUGGGGUUCCCUGAGGCCUUUGCUGUGUGGAGGGAACGCCGCGUCUCUGCAGGCAGAGGCCAGGCAGAGGCGAGUCUUCAGAGGUCAGCCCAUGUCUUCCAAGUGCAUCUUGAUGUGAUGCUGAGUCCACGAGGGGCCAGCAGGAUGGACACGUGGCUCCAUGGGCUGUCAAGGUGAUGGUCAGGGGCUCUGCCUCCUGUGAGCCAAUGAAUGUUCUCAGCAGAUUGGGGUCGGGGUUUAUAGAGAGAAAACGCAGAAUUCGAGCCCUGUAACUCACUGUGAAAUGAACCCCGGGAGCAAGGCCGUGCUUCUCAUCCCAUUCCUGGCGAGACCAUUCCUUCUGCCAGUGAAAACUGAAAGCUUGAUAGAAUUACCUUUUCCCUUUUGUUAAGCACUCAAGGUCACUGCGAGACAUAAAGCGAAAACGUCCUUUGGGGUUAAGCCAAUUUCCUUAUCAGUGAUAUCCCAGGAGCACGUUCCGUAAAGCCCGUAAAGGCAGAUGCAAAGCGAGGACGGAGGCCCGGCUGCCAGCUCCUUCUCCACACCUGCGAGCCCAGCGUCGUUUGUAAGCCACGCUUCUUCCCCUCCCUUGCACACGUGUAGCGAGCUUUCUGCUGGGACCUGAUUCUGAUGGAGAACCCUGGUUUGGGGGAGGGAGGGUCUGGGGGUCGGACCCUUCUGAGGUUUUACAAGAUGACAGGCAGCAGGACCACCAAGUCUGCGAGUCCUUUCUGUGCAUCAGCGACCAGCUUUAACUGCUCCAUUUCCAUAAGCCCACCAUGGCUGUUGAAACCCUCCAUGUCCAGUAAAUAAAGACAGACACAGAGAAUAAUUGAACAGACGUGGUGCUUAAAAGCACCUCCCCUAUCAUGUGGGCCCCAUGGUGCUCGAGCAGUGGGGUCCACACAGCACAGGCACCUGCGAGGCCGUGGAGUGAGGACGAGCCCUCCAUUCCAUCCAGGAGGAGAUGCCAGGAGGGUGAGGAGCUGCCACUCCCUUUCGUUCUGGCCACGUGGCGCUGGGGCCGUGUCCACAUGUAACCUCGCUGCUGGUUCCUCGGGCAGCAACUGUGGGGUUGCUGUGAUGUGGCGAUGGUGGCAGAAAUCAAAGCUGGGCUCGAGUUUCUACCCUCCAAGCUGAAAUGAUCCCGCCUGUGAUCUAUUCACCCACUGAGACAGAUGUGCAGGACUGGCCUGUUAUCACUUGGCCCCUGUAAUCACCCCGGAGUGAGUGAAGCUUCCAAGAAGAGGGCGUCGCAGAGGAAACGCACCACACGAGCAGAGCUGUAAUGAUCUUGCCCAGUGGCUUAGGCAGGAGAGAACAGACACAAAACUUUAAAAAUCAGAGUCUUAGCCUUUUUUCUGAACUGUUCCUUAGGCCAGAGAAUGCAUUUUUUCUUUCCUUAAAAAAAAAAGAUCCUAUAUACACUAAUAUGUAUAAAAUAGAUAGCUAAUAAGAACCUGCUGUAUAAAAAAUAAAUAAAAUAAAAU